AUACCCGCUCCGCGAGUGGUGGGGACUUUUACUGGGCUUAAAGCGCCCGUAGCCGGCUGGGUGUGUCCUCCGAUAAAUCCACAGGCCUAACCUGUGGGCUGCGGGGGAUACUACCCGGCUUGGGGGUGGGAGAGGGCGGCGGUAUUCCCGGGGUAGGGGUAAAAUCCACUGAUCCCGGGAGGACCACCAGUGGCGAAGGCGGCCGCCCAGAACACGCCCGACGGUGAGGGGCGAAAGCUGGGGGAGCAAACGGGAUUAGAUACCCUUGUAGUCC
rnacentral:rRNA from 1 species